rnacentral:misc_RNA from 1 species
GAUGAAGAACGCAGCGAAAUGCGAUAAGUAGUGUGAAUUGCAGAAGUACCGUGAAUCAUCGAAUCUUUGAACGCAAAUUGCACUCUCUGGUAUUCCGGGGAGUAUGCCUGUUUGAGGGUCGCUUAACAAACCAUCGAUUUCGUUGCUUUUUUUUAAAAAAGUGAUGUUUAUCGGAUUUGAGCCGUCUUUUUUUUUUAUAUUUAAGUGGCUUAAAAUUGAUUUUUUUGGUACGAUCGAAGCGUAUUUUUAUGAUCAAUUUUUGGUUAAAGAAACGCACGCGUACCGUUAUUUAUAUGAUGUAAUACGUUUGACUAUUGGAUUUAGUUCAUUCGUAUACGAUAUUUUUCAAUAUUUGACCUCAAAUCAGGUAAGAACACCCGCUGAACUUAAGCAUAUCAAUAAGCGGAGGA